rnacentral:rRNA from 1 species
AACGAACGCUGGCGGCAUGCCUAACACAUGCAAGUCGAACGAGACCUUCGGGUCUAGUGGCGCACGGGUGCGUAACGCGUGGGAACCUGCCCUUAGGUUCGGUAUAACUCCCCGAAAGGGGUGCUAAUACCGGAUAAUGUCUUCGGACCAAAGAUGUAUCGCCUUUGGAUGGGCCCGGGUUGGAUUAGCUGGUUGGUAGGGUACAAGCCUGCCAAGGCGACGAUCCAUGGCUGGUCUGGGAGGAUGAUCAGCCACGCUGGGACUGAGGCACGGCCCAGACUCGUACGGAAGGGAGCGGUAGAGAGUAUAGGGGGAUGAGCGAAGGCGUGGUAAAGCCGUGCCGGGUAAGUCGUGAAGGGCUUAGGAAUGUAAAUCUGUUUUAGCCGAGGUGAUAAUGACAGUACCGGGAAAAUAAGCACCGGCUAACUCCGUG